AGAGUCCAGCCCUAUGGGAGCAUUGUCUGCUGCCUGAAGGGGUUUCUAUAAAUGUAUCUUUCUUCACCCCAGGGUGAACUUUAUUAGAGCAAUACCUCUCAGGUCCUUUGGCUAUCCUUAUCAAUUCCACCACCUCUGGAGAGAGGACUGUGAUGGGGAGGCCUUGGGGUGAAGUUUUCAGGAGGAGGCUCUAUGGGAGGCCUCAGAGGGUUGUCAGUAGAGCAGCCUUUGAGCCUGCCUGAAAGUGUGUGCGGCCGGCUACACACACAGAGGAUAGCUCUGCUCACCUCUUUCUCCAGCUCUCCCUCAUCCCCUCAGCCUUCCAGCAGCCCCUGCUCAGAUCUUUCCCUCAGGAAGUCUCUCCUUCAUAAUGCUCUGUCCUCACCACUGUGAGCUCACACAUCUUUCUUAGCAUUAUGUGGUAAUGGCUGGUUUAUGACAGCACAGAUAAUAACAUAUUUACCUUGCUAUCUUAGGCUACUAGUAGAAUCCUGGCACAUCAUGGGAGCUCCUUGACUUUUUCUACCCUUCCAGAGUUAGGAUGCUUUGGGCUGCAGGUAACAGAACCCUCGAUGAACACUAACUUUAUUUCUGAAGAUGUUCAUCAACUUACAAAGCGGUUUAGAGAUGCAGAAAUAGCAGCUCAGAGAGGCAACUGACCUGCCCACGGCCCCAGGAACCAGGUCUAGAGGGACCCUGCUGUAGCUUUGCCUGAGAGAUGGAGCUGUCUGUUACCGGCACAGCCUGAAGGGGAAGACGACCAUGGAGCUGCCUCACCUGCUAACUCUUCUCAAUUGAACCAGCUCUCCACUUAGGAAUUUGACUGCAACAUGACUUCUCAGGACACCAGGCAUCCUAGCCUUAAGGAGGGCACAGGCACUAUGAAAGAUACCACCUCACCCUAGUCGACUUUAAAGCACUGUGCAAUGGCAUCAGAAUGGACUGGAGAGGCAGACAGAAUUGGUUUUAAAUCGUGGCCCCCAGGACCUGCCUGGACCUGCCUGGACCUGCCUGGCCUUGGGUGAGGGGACAGAGGCCUGGAGGAACCCAGUGACUUUUUUGCAGUCGUUCAUGUUUUGGCAACUUUCUUCUUUAUCAAGCUUUAGUGCAAAAUCAUGAGUCUGCUGCUUCUCAACGAGUGAGACUUCUGACGCACACACAACAAGAGCAAUCACCUUUUCCUAAGGAGUCCUUGGAAGUAGACUCAGUCUUUGAGGGCCAUCAUCAUUCCUGUACAAAUGAAAAAAAAUUCUGUAUUGCUGAAGGUAAGAAAGAAAAA